rnacentral:tRNA from 1 species
ACAGUGGUAGUUCAGUGGUAGAAUUCUGACUUUCCAUGUGAGGACCUGGGUUCAUUUCCCUGUCAAUGUA